UUUCUCUGUGUGCUGGCCAUCUGCCUGUUUAUUCUCAGGUCCCAUUUCUGCCUGUCUCUGCCUGGGACACCAAAAUCUGCAUUUCCCAUAUUCUCUUGCAUGGUGGCUUUUGCUUAGGCUUUGUUGACAGGGAGAUCUGGGAAGGCAAAAGGAAGGGAUUUCCUGUUUUCAGGUCCCAUAUUUCUUCACAGUGUCCUUCCAGCAGCAGAGGACAGCUAGACCUCCAGCAUCAUUUGGCAGUUUCCCCCUCUUUGUUGAUCUCAGGCCUCUUCCUUGAUCCCAGGCCCAGAGCUUACCAGCCACUCCCAAUCUCAGCAUCAGCCAAGUGGCACCCCAUCGGACCUCAGCUUCAGUCAUACAGAGUCCACUCAGCAUUCUCAUCACCAGCCACCAGUACUCCUCAGACGUCAUGGCUCAUGGCCCAGCACCCUGGAGGUCACAGCACAAGCCGUGCAGUGCCUGUUCUCUGACUCCAACAUCAGCCUUCAUAGUCCCUUCUCGCUGAUUCCAGCAUGGGCUGGCAACCCUUGCAUAAAAAUAUCCACUCACCAACUGUUCACCAACUGUUCUUCCUCUUGCUGGCAUACCUUAUGCAGCAUCCUCAGAUGCCAGAGCGCGUUUCUGCUGCAGCCUCCACGAUGCCUGGGCUGAUAGCAAUCAGGUCCUGCUAUGCUUCUUUCAGGAAGAGCUGACCCCUGGAAUCUGGGCUAGACUUGCACUUGUUUUGGCCAUUGGAAUAUCAAGCUGACUUUUUGUGGGCUCUGGAGACUAGGACCUAAAAGGAGGAAUGUUGCCCCCUCAUCAUUAUGUAAAGAAGCUGGCGCAACCUGCUGGAGGAGAAUAUGCCACCUGGGGAAGAACUGAGGCACCCAGCCAACAUCCAGCACCCACCACUAGACAUGAAAACACUGGUCGGUUACUAAUGGAGAAGAAGAAAAAGCAGCAAAGACAACGAGUAUACUUGGGAUGCGAUCGCAUGCCUGGAGCAUCUGGUGGGCAGGAUUCACUCGUCCUUUCCUUUUUGAGAUUGCAAUUAAGUAGAUAAUAUGAGAGAGAACUGACAAUUGGGUUGUCCCUACUGAGCUUGGGGCCAGGUGUGUACUUAGGAACCCAAUCCCACCCAGAAGAGACUCAUCUAUGUUAACACUAAGGAUGCCCUGGAGGAGGUCCUGACCACAUACAUGCGGCCAUUGGUUGAUUUCAGCUUUGCAAGCAGCGUAGUGAGAAAACCAAAAGCUUGUCCUAUCCAGACUGAGCUUGCCAGGGAAGCAGAGGCCUGAGGUUACUUAACGAGAGGCAGGCUGCCAGAGUGGAGACACAGGGCAUGUACAAUCAUACAAACCUGCAUACCAAUUCUGCCCCCCCACUCACUCUGUGGCUGUGUCACCCUGGCAAGUGACUUAACCUCUCUGAUCUUCUUUUCCUCACCUAUAAAAUGGGGAAAAUGAAAUGUAUCUCAGAUUGGGGAUUCGAAGGUUUCAAAUGACCAUUUAGGUAAACUUCCUGGAACAUAGUAUGUGUUCAGGAACCUUGAGUUCCCUCCCCUUGGGAGAAGACCCCUCACACUGAGCUGGGGAGCAGGAUCCUGGUCACUGAGACUUCUUUUCUGCACAAACUUCAUCUUGGCCUCUAAUGAGAUGGAAUCCCCCAGGGCCUGUUGCCUCCUGUUAUUGCAAUUUAAGCACAGCCAGUGCUGACUGGGCUGUUAGACUCCAAAGGUUCCCUGGUAGAAAAUUUGAGGGGUGUGGGAUGGCAAGGGAUUGAGAGAGAGGGGUGGGGACUUCAGAUAGCCAGUAUUCCUUAGCCUUCCAAUUCCUUAACAGCCAAAUUACCCUAGAGCCUCUUUAUGAAGCUAAAGAAAUACAAAUACUAUUUUCAAAUCAGCAGGCAUUCCCAAUGUUGGCUUUUGCUGAGGGUAGCUAAGAGGCAAAGCAUACCUAGAUCCUAGGCCAGACCUCAACAGCCUUAGUUCUGGCUCCUUCUGUUUCCAUAUUUCUCAAGAACCUGGUUUUCUCUGCUGGAAGAAGCAUUUUCAGAGGUCAUCUGAAGUCUACAGCCCUCCCCUCUGCGAGGAGAGCACAGACUUGAAGUCAAGUGGGCCUGGGCUCCAAAUCUUAGUUCUGCCACUUACUAGCUAUGUGGCCUUGGACAAGUUACUUAACUCCCCCAUGCCUCAGUUUCUCUGGAUACCAAAUGGGGAUAAUGAUGCUAAUACCUCAUAGAGUAGGCAUGAGGGUUAUAUGAGUAAAGUGCUGAGAAAGGAGCCUGAUAGGUAAUUACCUGAUCCCCCUCCUCUCGCUAGAGCCCCCACACCCUGGUGAUACUCACCACUAUGCCUUCACUUUAUAAUCAACAGAAACACUUCAACACCCAUCCCAGAAAACACAUGAAAUACUCACAUUACACAAAGAUCAAAUGAGUGGGGAUGAUUAAACCUAUUUUCCUUUUGAUUCAAACAAGUGGAGUGCUCUGUCCUUGGCCACACAGUUUAAAGAAUGAAGCCAGGACUACAUGCCAAACAGCAUGACUCCUAGGGUAAAGUUCUUCCCACCCCAUGAAGAUGCCCUCACCCCUCAAUUUCUCCUGACUGUUUCUUUAAAUAGAAAGGUUUUGAUGGAAACACUAGUGACGUAUAUGAAUUUUGAAGCAGAUAUCCAUUUUUAAUAUAGGAAGGAAGACAUUAAGAUGUCAAACUUGGGGCUGCUAAAUGAACAUCUGUAGCCCAAACAUGGGGCACCAGGGCUGGGAGGCUCAGAGAAGUAAUUGCCACAAAAAAGAUGCACCAGGACAUUGAUUUCUUCUGCCUGUUUGCUUGAUUUCCACUUUGAGCUUACUCAAUUGGCUAUUCCUCUGUUUUGCCACCUCAAGAACAUGACCCCAGCUCAUUUGAAUGAAAAUAUGUUUGCCAUUACCUCAUUAAUUUCUGAGACUUUGCAUUAUUUUUUACACCCACCUCCUUUCUUUUCUUCUCCCUCAAAAUUCAGAGUAUUGGUUGGAAAGAGGUAAAUCAGGCACCAUUUCUCCAUGAUGUGUCAGGACCUGAAUCUGUCAUUUGCGAGCCUGACCUCAUAACUCAGCCAAGCCAAGCUGCAAGGCACCCUGGGAACCCAUCACUGAAAGACUGCAGAGGGAGGAAGGCAAGGGCAGGAAUAGCCAGCUGGUCAAGCAGCAGAGUGUCUCCUCAGCUCCCAGGAAAUGGUGUCUAAGGGUGAUGAUGAACUGGGACUUCAUCUGAGUCCAAAAUAAUGAUGCUGCUGAUGCAACAGCAGAACUUAUUAAACACUUACUACUGCAUAUGCCACUAUGAGGUAGACUUACAGAGAAUAAGUUACUCUCCCAUAAUCACACAGCCAGUAAAUGACAGAAAUGGGAUCCAAUCCAAAUAUGUUUCAUUCUAAAGCCCAUGCUCUUCACCAACAAAGCCCAACUUGAUUUAAUUUAUCCCCAAACAUACCAACAUCCAUUUGUUAGUUCCCUUCCCAAUUUAACUUUAAGCGUCUCACAUACAUACACUGUUUUUAUCCUAACAACAAGUUGGUGAGGAACUGAGCUCAGAGAGGUUAAUCCACCCACUGAAAGGCACCCAGUGUUUAAGAGCAGAGGGAGGGGCCUGACACAGGUCUUUCGGAGCAUGACAUGCAUGUUCUGUCCACAAGGCCUGUUGCUGCCUUUCCCCCAGAGGUCCAGACUGAGGACGGGACAGAGUAGAUAAAGACAGCAGUGUGAGAGGAGGCAGUGGGCAAUAUGGGGAAUCUAGGGGCAGCAGUAUGCUGGUCCCAUAUAAUCAGGCCCGGGGGAGGGGCCCAGACAGAGGGUGGCAGACUCUCUGUACUCCAGCAAGACAAUCCCAGAAGAAAUGCCAGAGAGAUCAAUGAGAAGGCCAGUCAUUUACACUGGGCACACACACAGUGUUUAGGGUACUCAGAUAGGUACCCAGGCCUCACCCCAGGCUGUUUGGACACCAGGAGUCAUAGCACUCUUCCAGGCCACAACUGCUACUUGGGGUGGGAGGAGAGGAUGAGACGUGGCAUUUGUGGAAUAAUGACUGUGGCCAAGCAGUGGGCUCUGUAUGAUGCCAUCGUCAAUUCUCACAGCAAUUCUACAACAUAGGUUUUGUUACUUCUCUCUCACGCUUUACCCUAAAUUUCUCCUGCCUACCACAGUGCUUGGCACACACAAACAGAAUAAUAAUGUGUGGAACUGACUAAUUCAUUUUCCAUUCUGCUGGUCAGGGAGAAAUUAAUAGAGGCAGAGGCUAUUAAUAAAACAUUACAUUACCUCCAA
rnacentral:lncRNA from 10 species